UUAUUAAUGAUAUUUUUUAAUAUUAAUUUGAUUUGAUUAUUUUAUUUUUUUUUAGUAAAUUAAUGAAUUGAAUAAUGAUUUUUAACUGUUAAGGUUAGUUAUAAUAUUUUAUAAAAAUUAUUAGUACCUUUUGUAUCAGGGUUUUUUUAUUAAUAAAUUUAUUUUUGUUUCCCGAAAUUGAAGUAUUUAUUUUUUUAUAAAUUUAUUUGUUUUAUAACAUUUUAAAAUUUAAAAAUUGUAAUUAUAAGUUAUUCGUUUUCUAUUAUAUCUGGUUAUUCAGGAUAAAAUUUAAUUUUAUAUAAUUUUUAUUAUAUUAUUAUUUAUUGGGGAUAAGCUCAAUUUAUUUGGUGUAAUUUUUUUAUGUUAAUUGUUUUUAAUUUUAGUAUCUUUUAUUAAGUUCGUAAUAGAUUUUAAUUGUUAUUUAUGAUUUUUUUUAAUUCAACUUUUUACUGAUUUAAAUUAAGUAAUUUAUAUUUAAUUUUAAUAAUGAUUAAAUUAGUAUAAUGUUAAUUUUAAUAUUAAUGAAUUCAACAAUAUUUAAUUUUCAACUGUUUAUCAAAAACAUUUCUUUUAGUUUAAAUUAAAAGUUUAUUCUGCCCUAUGAUUGACUGUUAAAUGGCUGCAGUAUUUUGACUGUGCAAAGGUAGCAUAAUAAGUAGUUUUUUAAUUGGAUACUAGUAUGAAUGGAUUAAUGAGAAAUUAUUUUUAUUAUUUUUAUUUUUGUAAUUUUAUUUUUUAGUUAAAAAGCUUAAUUGAUUUUUUGGGACAAUAAGACCCUAUAGAACUUUAUUUAUUAUUAUAAUUUGUAAUUUUAGGAUAAAAUAGUUUUAUUGUAAUGUUAUAUUUAAUUGGGGUGAUUUAUAAAUUUUUAAACUUUAUUUAAACUUUCAAUAAUUAUUGAAAAUAUUGAUCCAAUAAUUUGAUUCAAAGAAAAAGUUACCUUAGGGAUAACAGCGUUAUUUUAAUGGAAAGUUCUUAUUUAUAUUAAAGUUUGCGACCUCGAUGUUGAAUUAAGAUUAAAUUAAGGGGUAGUUUCUUUAAAUUUAAGUCUGUUCGACUUUUAAAUUCUUACAUGAUUUGAGUUCAAACCGGUGUGAGCCAGGUUGGUUUUUAUCUUAAAAUAUAUUUAUUAUAUUAGUACGAAAGGACCAUUUAAUACUAUUAAUUAUAGUCAACUUAA
rnacentral:rRNA from 1 species